ACGCACGCUGGCGGCGUGCCUAAUACCUGCAAGUCGAGCGAGUCUGCCUUGAAGAUCGGAGUGCUUGCACUCUGUGAAACAAGAUACAGGCUAGCGGCGGACGGGUGAGUAACACGUGGGUAACCUGCCCAAGAGAUCGGGAUAACACCUGGAAACAGAUGCUAAUACCGGAUAACAACAGAUGAUGCCUAUCAACUGUUUAAAAGAUGGUUCUGCUAUCACUCUUGGAUGGACCUGCGGUGCAUUAGCUAGUUGGUAGGGUAACGGCCUACCAAGGCGAUGAUGCAUAGCCGAGUUGAGAGACUGAUCGGCCACAUUGGGACUGAGACACGGCCCAAACUCCUACGGGAGGCAGCAGUAGGGAAUCUUCCACAAUGGACGCAAGUCUGAUGGAGCAACGCCGCGUGAGUGAAGAAGGGUUUCGGCUCGUAAAGCUCUGUUGUUGGUGAAGAAGGACAGGGGUAGUAACUGACCUUUGUUUGACGGUAAUCAAUUAGAAAGUCACGGCUAACUACGUG
rnacentral:rRNA from 1 species